rnacentral:rRNA from 1 species
AGAGUGAACGCUGGCGGUAGGCCUAACACAUGCAAGUCGAACGGCAGCACAGGAGAGCUUGCUCUCUGGGUGGCGAGUGGCGGACGGGUGAGGAAUACAUCGGAAUCUACCUUUUCGUGGGGGAUAACGUAGGGAAACUUACGCUAAUACCGCAUAAGACCUUCGGGUGAAAGCCGGGGACCUUCGGGCCUGGCGCGGAUAGAUGAGCCGAUGUCGGAUUAGCUUGUUGGCGGGGUAAAAAGCCCACCAAGGCGACGAUCCGUAGCUGGUCUGAGAGGAUGAUCAGCCACACUGGAACUGAGACACGGUCCAGACUCCUACGGGAGGCAGCAGUGGGGAAUAUUGGACAAAUGGGCGCAAGUCUGAUCCAGCCAUACCGUGUGGGUGAAGAAGGCCUUCGGUUGUAAAGCCUUUGUGGAAGAAUCUGCCGUAAUAACCAGUAGGAUGACGGUACCAAAGAAUAAGACACCGACUAACCUUACGUGCCAGACAGCCGC